UCCAUCAUCAUGUUGUUUAGUCAGUGGGCUCUCCUCUUGACCGUGUGGUUGCUUUGUGUGGAGGUUUUGUAUUUGAACCUGGACACGCAGAUCGUGAUGAACAUGCGUGGAGAAGCUGGCUCUUUGUUUGGGUUUUCUAUGGCCAUGCACCAUCAGCUUAAACCUUCAGAGGAGCGAGUAUUGCUGAUUGGAGCCCCUCUUGCUAAAGCAUUGCCUAUCUGAUGAUUGUGAACGUAUUUCUGUUGAUAAAGAAGGUGGGAUGAUCUCCAAAAUAAGCAUUGAUGAAGAUGUAGGAAAAGCUGUGUAUGUUUUCAUCAACCAAGCCAAAGGGCAGCGCUGGAACCAAAUACAACCAGUGUGUCUAUAUGGGAAAAUGGACUCCAUGUUUGGACUAGCAGUGGCUCAUAUUGGGGAUAUCAACCAAGAUGGAUACCAAGAUUUUGCAGUGAGUGCUCAUAAUGAGGAUACAGGGAGAAGUCGGGUGUACAUAUGUCAUGGUUCAGCUGCAGAGCCUCAUCAAAAACCAGAGGUUUGUAAAAGGAGUUACAUGUAUAAACUUGUCAUAAAAUGUCAAAAUAAGUGAAAAUGUGUUGUGUUUGAUUAGUUAUAAAAUAACUUGCCAGAACAAUUUCUGUAGCAUUUGAAUCACAUCUGAUAGGUCACUUUUCUGCAGGGAUCAAGCACACAUUAAAGGCUGAUGCAUUGUGGAUAGAGAGGGGUCUUGGUUCACGAGUGGUCUUUGUGAAAUUUAGAAAUGCCGGCUGUGGAAGUGACAACAUUUGUCAGAGUAACCUGCAGCUUGAGUAUAGGUUCUGCACCAGAGACCAACAACAAGACAAAUGUGACCCUCUAGCCAUGUAAAGCCACUGUCUAUGUGACUUGUGCAUGAUUUAGGGCUUAUGUGUUUUCUACAACUCAAAAAUUGCACAUGAUUGAUAUUUGGCAUAAGGUUU